AACGCACAUUGCGCCCAUUGGUAUUCCGAUGGGCAUGCCUGUUCGAGCGUCAUUAUCCUCCCUCAAACCUCGUGUUUGGUGUUGGACCGUGUUAGUCGUGCGACCAACUGGUCUCAAAGACAAUGACGGCGUCCGUGGGACCCUCGGUGCAACGAGCUUUUAACGAGCACGCGUCGAGUUUCAAGGACCCUCCGGGCCGGUCUUGACUUCUAUCUUCUCAGGUUGACCUCGGAUCAGGUAGGAAUACCCGCUGAACUUAA
rnacentral:misc_RNA from 1 species